GAGGGAGGGUGUGACUAGUGACAGAGUGAGACUAGUGAGGUGAGGGAGGUGGUGAUUAGUGACAGAGGGAGGAAUGGGGUGACUAUCACUGUGUCACCCCCUUCCUCACUCUGUCACUAGUCACCCACUCCCUCCCUCACUCGGUCACUAGUCACCCCCUCUCUCACUCUGUCACCAGUCAUUCCCUCACUCUGUCACCAGUCACUCUGCCCUAGUCAUCCCUUCCCUCACUCUGUCACCAGUCAUCCCCUCACUCUAUCACCAGUCACCCCUUCCUUCCUUCA